AGUGAACGCUGGCGGUAGGCCUAACACAUGCAAGUCGAACGGCAGUACAGUAAGAGCUUGCUCCUACGGGUGGCGAGUGGCGGACGGGUGAGGAAUACAUCUGAAUCUACCUUUUCGUGGGGUAUACCGUAGGGAAACUUACGCUAAUACAGCAUAGGACCUCCGGGUGAAAGCAGGGGAUCUUCGGACCUUGCACGAUUGAAUGUGAUGAUUCAGGAUUACGUAGUUGGGGGGGUAAUGGACGACCAAGACGACGAUCCGUAGCUGGACUGAGAGGACGAUCAGCCACUCGGGAGAGGGGACGCGGGCCAGACUCCUGAGUGAGGCAGCAGUGGGGAAUAUAGGGCAAGGGGCGGAAGCCUAAUCCAGCCAUAGCGCGUGAGUGAAGAAGGCCCUCGCGUUGUAAAGCCCUUUUGUUGUGAAAGAGAAGCAGCAGUUUAAUACCCCGCUGUUCUGACGUUACCCAAAGAAGAAGCACCGGCUAACUUCGU
rnacentral:rRNA from 1 species